rnacentral:rRNA from 1 species
GACGAACGCUGGCGGCGUGCCUAAUACAUGCAAGUUGAGCGAGGAAGAUUGGUGCUUGCACCAAUUUGAAGAGCAGCGAACGGGUGAGUAACGCGUGGGGAAUCUGCCUUUGAGCGGGGGACAACAUUUGGAAACGAAUGCUAAUACCGCAUAACAACUUUAAACAUAAGUUUUAAGUUUGAAAGAUGCAAUUGCAUCACUCAAAGAUGAUCCCGCGUUGUAUUAGCUAGUUGGUGAGGUAAAGGCUCACCAAGGCGAUGAUACAUAGCCGACCUGAGAGGGUGAUCGGCCACAUUGGGACUGAGACACGGCCCAAACUCCUACGGGAGGCAGCAGAAGGGAAUCUUCGGCAAUGGACGAAAGUCUGACCGAGCAACGCCGCGUGAGUGAAGAAGGUUUUCGGAUCGUAAAACUCUGUUGGUAGAGAAGAACGUUGGUGAGAGUGGAAAGCUCAUCAAGUGACGGUAACUACCCAGAAAGGGACGGCUAACUACGUG